CAGAACCCAUCUUCCCACGCAUCCGUGAUCAUCUCCCAGCAUCCCACGCUCAUUUCCGCAUCUUUCUCAUCUUCCGCUCAUCUCACGCGUUCCCUCCGCGGUCUUUCCUCCCUUCUGAAUCCAAGGAACAGAGUCUCCCCAUGUAUCAAGUCCCUUUUAUUCCGCGAUUCAUCCUCAUCCUCUCGCUCCCGCGUCUUCCAAGUUCCCUAGCCGUGAGCAUGUCUGUUUCUUCUUCAACUUCCCUUCACGAAAACAAAGCAGAGCAGUUUCCUUUCCUCCCGUAUCCACAGAUCUCGUCUUCUGCAACAAUGCGAUCGAGUUUAUCUUCCCAAAUUUCACGGAAGCAUCCCUUCCACGCGGACUCAGCUCUUCGUCCAGCAGCCACACGCGAUUCGCUUCGAACUGCGAGGGAUUCUGCGCGUCCCAGCAAUCUCCUCCUCCCAGCCGGAUGAAAGCUUAUCCCGUGAUCCUCUUCUUCCGAAUUUGUUUCAUUCCGCGACCCAUCCCGCUGCCAGCCAAGAUAGCAUCCCGAACAAAUCUCAGCCAAGUCCCAGCAUUCGGAUUGACCCCAGCCACGGAAACAGAAUCCUCUCCCCAGAGUUCAUCCUUAGAAUUCAUCCUCUCACGUCCUAGCUUCAUCCCUUCCGCAUUCCGGAGUCCCUUCUCCCACGGAUCAUUCUCUUCUAGUUCCCGAGCUUCACAGCAUCCAAACAGAGCCAAAUCCUCUGCAGGAUCCACGGGAUAAACUCAAAUCCCAUCCUCUUCCGGCUUGAUCCCAUGGAAUCUCCCAACGUUCAAGCUGCUCCCCUGCUUUAGGAUCAGUUCAAAUACACCAAACUUCAUCCUUCCACGUCCAAGAUCUUCUCCCACGUUUUGAAGAAGCGGCGAUUUCUUCCACUCAUCCCAUGAGGUAGCAGCCGUCCGAGAUCCUCUCAACAUCCACGUN
rnacentral:lncRNA from 1 species